GAUGAACGCUGGCGGCGUGCUUAACACAUGCAAGUCGAACGGUGAAGGCGGAGCUUGCUCUGCUGUAUCAGUCGCGAACGGGUGAGUAACACGUGAGCAAUCUUCCCCUUACUCUGUGAUAAGCGCUGGAAACGGCGUCUAAUACUGGAUACGAGCUGCGAAGGCAUCUUCAGCAGCUGGAAAGAACCUCGGUCAGGGCUGAGCUCGCGGCCUAUCAGCUUGUUGGUGAGGUAACGGCUCACCAAGGCGUCGACGGGUAGCCGGCCUGAGAGGGUGACCGGGCACACUGGGACUGAGACACGGCCCAGACUCCUACGGGAGGCAGCAGUGGGGAAUAUUGCACAAUGGGCGAAAGCCUGAUGCAGAAACGCCGCGUGAGGGACGAAGGCCUUCGGGUUGUAAACCUCUUUUAGCAGGGAAGAAGCGAAAGUGACGGUACCUGCAGAAAAAGCGCCGGCUAACUACGUG
rnacentral:rRNA from 1 species